CCUACGGGUGGCUGCAGUGAGGAAUAUUGGGCAAUGGACGCAAGUCUGAACCAGCCAUGCCGCGUGCAGGAAGAAGGCUCUAUGAGUUUUAAACUGCUUUUGUACGGGGGUAGACGCCGAUAGGCGUAUCUGUCUGAAAGUAUCGUACGAAUAAGGAUCGGCUAACUCCGUGCCAGCAGCCGCGGUAAUACGGAGGAUUCAAGCGUUAUCCGGAUUUAUUGGGUUUAAAGGGUGCGUAGGCGGUCGGAUAAGUUAGAGGUGAAAUCCCGAGGCUCAACUUCGGAAUUGCCUUUGAUACUGUUAGGCUAGAGAGUAGUAGAGGUAGGCGGAAUGUAUGGUGUAGCGGUGAAAUGCUUAGAGAUCAUACAGAACACCGAUUGCGAAGGCAGCUUACUAAGCUACUUCUGACGUUGAGGCACGAAAGCGUGGGGAGCAAACAGGAUUAGAUACCCGAGUAGUC
rnacentral:rRNA from 1 species